rnacentral:lncRNA from 1 species
ACUCAGUCCUCUCAAUAACCCUCUGGAGAGGCAUCCAGUAUUGUCCCCUCUACUUCACAGAUGAGGAAACUGAGGCACAGAGAAAUUGAGUAACUUCCCCAAGGUUAUACGACCAACGCGGCUGACCUUAGGGACCGAGAUGGUAGCGGCUGGUUCCAGGCAGCAAGAUGGAGGAAGGGACAAGGAAGAGAGCAAAGCUACUCACCUGACACUGGACACUUCUGCUCACAUCCUGUUGGCCAGAACUUAGUCACAGGACCUGACCUAAACUACAAAGAAGCCUUGAAAAUUAGUCUUUUCUUUCCGGGUGAAAAUGUUCAGCCCCAGCUGCAAAUUCUAUUAUGUGGAAAAAAGAGAGACAGGAUCUUGAGGAACAACUAGAAGUUUCUACCAACACAAAAUCGUCUUUCUGGAUUUAGCCUAAAGGUUCAUGUGGAUAAAGAAAAGAUCCAUUUAUUCAUUCAUUCAAUGACUCACUUAGUUGUUUAACUCAACAGAUAUUUAUUGAGUACCUACUAUGUGCUAGGCACUGUUCUGUGGGCUGAGCUAUACUCGUGAGUUAAACAGGGUUCCCUGCCCUCAUGAAGCCUAUUACAUCCUAGCAGGGAAGAAAGACAACAAGUAAUAAAGAUAAGGAAUUAAAGGACACAGUAUAUUAGAAGAGGUAAAUUAUUAUAGCAGAAAGGAAAACUGAGACGGGAGCGUGGAAGUGAGCGGGGGUUGCGAUUUCACAUGGGUGCUCAGGGGUUGGCCUCAUCGUGAAGGUGAUGUUUGUGAAGAGACUUGAAGUAGGUGAAUAAGCGAGCCUCGCAGACAUCCAGGGAAACAGGCUCC